ensembl:lncRNA
UUUUUUUUUUUUUUUUUUUUUUUUGUCUUUUUGCUAUUUCUUUGGGCCACUCCCAUGGCAUAUGGAGGUUCCCAGGCUAGGGGUCGAAUCGGAGCUGUAGCCUCCAGCCUAUGCCAGAGCCACAGCAACGUGGGAUCUGAGCUGCAUCUGCAACCUACACCACAGCUCACAGCAACGCCAGAUUGUUAACCCACUGAGCAAGGGCAGGGACCGAACCCACAACCUCAUGGUUCCCAGUCGGAUUCGUUAACCACUACGCCACGAUGGGAACUCCCUUUUUUUUUUUUGUCAUAUUUUCUUAUAUUUUUCUUAUUCUGUGUUUUUAGGAAAACAACUAUCAUAGUCCUGGAGGGCUGUGAUAUAUAUAUAUAUGUGAGAGUGCCCCCAGGUAGUUUCUGAGGGCUUACUUUUUUUUUUUUUCUUUGUUUUGCAUGAGAGCUGCUUUUGGUUUGGAUGCUUGCUAUCUCUUUCCUCCAUGUGUGCAGGCUGUUUUCCCCUUGAUAGGGGGUGUGCAGUUGUACAUCAUGCAUGUACAUCCAGGGAGAUGGAGGCAAUGGGUAGGGCUAGUAGCCAGUGCCUGGUUGCUGAGCCCUUCACAGUGGUGAGGACCUGCCAGGGAGGUGGCACGGGCUGCUCCUGGUUGCAGGGCCCUGAGAAGUGGCAAUGACCUUCAGGUGGGUGUUGCCCAGAAUGUUUAGCAGUGGCAACAGUAGGGCAUGUGCAUUCUCAGGAGAGAGAGAGCAACAAUGGGCGGUACUCCGUUGUAGUGCCCUCCUCUGUGCUGACCUCUGAGGCGAUGGGGCCACAGGUGGUGCUGUUCACAGACCCCUUGUGGUGGCAGGCCAUGCCCACCUCUGGAGUCUGAGAUGGCUGUGGUAGUUUGCCCCCACCACCUGUAGGUUGUGCAAGAGAUGCUCCACUACCCUUAGCCCACACACAAGAAGCCCCUGCCGCCUGAGAGCCCAUGUAUGCACAGAGAAAGAUAUUCUUAUGGGGGUCUCCCCCUCCUCUUCUCACCCUCUCCAACAAUGCUGCCUUGCUUAUCCUGUGGGCCCAGGCCUCCUCCCAGAUUUGCCUGGCUCCUGCAGCACACCACUCCAUAGCCCCUCAGGCUGUCUCCACACAGCCAACCCUAGUCCUCCCUCAAAACUGACCUCUGGAGCCUGAGUUUCAGCAUCCAGCCUCCACCCAAGCAUCUCUGGCUGUGGUGUCCAGGGGCAGUGGUACCAAUUGUUUCUGCUGCUCUCUCCCUGCUUUGCCUUCCUCUGGCUGCUCCACUUUUCUCCAAGGCUUUGAGGUCCCUCCAUCUUGGCUGAUUUCCCCAUCAGUUGGGUGGCUUCCCAGGGUGUGGAUUCCUUUCCUCUUUCACAGCCCCCUCUCUGGAGUGCUGGUUUUGUCCUCAUUCCAUUUUUUCCCCCUUCUUUCUCUCACUUUUUUUCCUUUUGCCCUACCCAGUUAAGUGAAGGGUUUCUUGCCCGUUUUGGAGAUUUAAGGUCUUCUGCUAGCAUUCAGUAGAUGUUCUGUGUGAAUCGUUCUACAUGUAGAUGUGGUUUAUGUGUGUGUAUGUGUGUGUGUGUGUGUGUGUUGCAGGAGAAAGUGAGCGCCACAUAUUACUCCUCCUCUAUCUUGAGCCCUCCUUAGUUAUUUUUGAUACAUUAUUUUCCAGGCUUUGGGUCACUCAGGUGGCAGGUAUGGGAUUGCUUUUAUCACAGAAGUACCCCUCCUACAGAUGAGGCUUCUUAUUUGUCUUUGGGUGUAGGAUGUCUUUUUUGGUUGUUUGCAGUCAAAAGUGUUUGUUCAGCAGUUAGUUAUGAUUUGGGUGUUUUCCUGAAAGGAGGUGAGCUUAAGUCCUCCUACUCUGCCAUCUUACCUCUGACUCCAUGUCUUUUAAUUGGAGCAUUUGGUCCAUUGACAUUUAAGGUAAUUAUUGAUAUUUUUUUCUUUUUUGGAUACACCUGUGGCAUAUGGAAAUUCACAGGCCAGGGACUGAAUCUGAGCCAGAGCUGUGACCCACACCACAGCUGCAGCAAUGCUGUAUUUAACCUACUGUGCUGGGCCAGGGAUCAAACUAGUGCCUCCACAGAGACAGACUAGAUCGUUAACCCACUGCACCACAGUGGGAACUCUGAUAGAUAAGUAGUAGUUGCCAUUUUAAACCUUGUUUUCUAGUUGACUCUGUGUUUCUUCUUUGUGCCUUUUUUCUUUUUUUCUUAUGUGGCUUAAUUAUUUAUUUCAUUUUAUCCUUGUGUUCUCUUCUUUUUGGUUUGUGACUCUAUUGUAUGUUUUUAACUUGUGGUUUCCCAAGUUUUCAAGUAUGUUGUUCUUAUCCUAUAUCUACUUUCUUUAGAUCAAUAGUCACAUAGGCUCAAACACAUUCUCAUGUUUCCUUUGGGGGCGGGGCACACACGCUUGUGGCAUGUGGAAGUUCCUGCACCAGGGAUCAAACCUGAGUCAAAGCAGUGACAGUGCCAAAUCCUUAACCUUUAGGUUAGCAGAGAACUCCUUAAACACAUUUUUUUUUUUUUUUUUUUAGGGCCACACCUGCAGCAUAUGGAAGUUCCCAGGUCAGGAGUCAAAUCAGAGCUGCAACUGCCAGCCAAUAGCAACACGGGACUCGGGCCAUGUCUGCAAUUUGUGCAACAGCUCACAGCAACACUGGAUCCUUAACCCACUGAGCAAGGCCAGGGAUCGAACCUGCAUCCUCAUGGAUACUAGCUGGGUUUGUAACCCCCUGAGCUACAUCAGGAACUCCCUAUAAACAUUCUUUUUUUAAAAAAAAUCUACAUUUACUUACUCUCCUCUCUCACAUUUUAUGAUUUUUGAUGUCCUCUUUUACAUCUUCAUGUUUAUCUUUUUGCUGUUUAUUGUGAUUAUUAUCACUUUC